CUUUUCUGCUGGGAAAAGAAUGAAGGCACUUCAGGUUCUUCUUGUCAUUUGCGUGUUAACUACGGCCAUCCGUACCACUUCCGGAAUUACAAUAUGGAAACAUGCCAGUUGUCUUGCGUUUUGCCGGCCAUCUCAAGACAACUGCAAGAGUGGAUGUCAGUGCACUGCUUUUCGUUACUUCAAUAGGGUUGGUGCCUGCCUGAAUGCAAGUAUGCCAAUCCCAUGGAUGUUCCGUCCGUGGUUGAACGGGAGGCAAAAGUAAAAACAAUGGGUGGUUUCCAAAACCUUCUGCUGCAAUUAACAUAAAAAUAAAU
rnacentral:lncRNA from 1 species